AUGAAUGAAUGGACAGCUAUAUACAGACUCUAUCCGCCCUCCCUCCCUGGCUCCGGACCUGCUCGGGGGGGGGGGAGGGGGGAAUGGACCAAGCUGGGACCCAGCCAGAACCAUCCGACCCUUUCCUUCUGUUUUUCAUCCCAGUCUAUCAAGGCCGAGUUCGGCUCAUUCAUUCGUUCACUCAGUCAAUUGUAUUUAUUAUUGUUAUUAAUAAUAAUAAUAAUAAUGGUAUUUGUUAAGCACUUACUAUGUGUACACUGUUUUAAGCACUGGGGUAGAUACAAGAUAAUCAGGUUGUUCCACCUGGGGCUCAGUCUUCAUCCCCAUUUUACAGAUGAGGUAACUGAAGCCCAGAGAAGUAAAGUGUCUUGCCCAAGGUCACAGAGCAGACAAGUGGUGGACCUGGGAUUCUCCAUUUACACUCACUCCCUCGGUGAACUCAUUCGCUCUCACGGCUUUGACUACCAUCUCUACGCAGAUGACACGCAGAUCUACAUCUCCGCCCCUGUCCUCUCCCCCUCCCUUCGGGCUCGCAUCUCCUCCUGCCUCCGGGACGUCUCCACCUGGAUGUCGGCCCGCCACCUAAAACUCAACAUGAGCGAGACUGAGCUCCUCAUCUUCCCUCCCAAACCCGGUCCUCUCCCAGACUUCUCUAUCACCGUGGAUGGCACGACCAUCCUUCCCGUCUCUCGGGCCCGCGAUCUCGGUGUCAUCCUUGACUCGUCCCUCUCGUUCACCCCACACAUCCUAUCCGUUACCGAGACCUGCCGGUUUCACCUCUACAAUAUCGCCAAGAUCCGCCCUUUCCUCUCCACCCAAACGGCUACCUUACUAUUACGGGCUCUCGUUAUAUCCCGGCUAGACUACUGUGUCAGCCUUCUCUCUGACCUCCCUUCCUCCUCUCUCGCCCCGCUCCGGUCUAUUCUUCACUCCGCUGCCCGGCUCAUCUUCCCGCAGAAACGAUCUGGGCAUGUCACUCCCCUUCUUAAACAACUCCAGUGGUUGCCUAUCGACCUCCGCUCCAAACAAAAACUCCUCACUCUAGGCUUCAAGGCUCUCCAUCACCUUGCCCCUUCCUACCUCUCCUCCCUUCUCUCUUUCUACCGCCCACCCCGCACGCUCCGCUCCUCCGCCGCCCACCUCCUCACCAUCCCUCGGUCUCGCCUAUCCCGCCGUCGACCCCUGGGUCACGUCCUCCCGCGGUCCUGGAACGCCCUCCCUCCUCACCUCCGCCAAACUGAUUCUCUUUCCCUCUUCAAAACCCUACUUAAAAAUCACCUCCUCCAAGAGGCGUUCCCAGACUGA
rnacentral:lncRNA from 1 species